GGUCAAGCUACUAAGGGCAUGCGGUGAAUGCCUUGGCACUUAAAGGCGAUGAAGGACGUGAAAAGCUGCGAUAAGCAACGGUGAGGAGCACAUAUCCAUUGACCCGUUGAUUUCCGAAUGGG
rnacentral:rRNA from 1 species